ACCGGCGGCUCGAGUGGUGGCCACUAUUACUGGGCUUAAAGCGUCCGUAGCUGGAUUGUUAAGUCUCUUGGGAAAUCUACCGGCUUAACCGAUAGGCGUUCAAGGGAUACUGGCAAUCUAGGGACCGGAAGAGAUGAGAGGUACUCCAGGGGUAGGAGUGAAAUCCUGUAAUCCUUGGGGGACCACCUGUGGCGAAGGCGUCUCACCAGAACGGCUCCGACAGUGAGGGACGAAAGCUGGGGGAGCAAACCG
rnacentral:rRNA from 1 species